UGUGUGUGUGUGUGUGAGAGAUGUUGAAAUGUAAGUGGAAAGCAACAAUAGAAAAAUAAGUGUGGUAAUUGUACAUACUUCUAUAAAUUACAGAUUGUUCAACCAGAAGCCAAAAGAUGACUCCUUGCUUUGGUGGUGGAAAGAAAGGUCGUGCAUCUGGAUGUGGUGGGAUGAAUCGAUGUGGUGACAAACUGGAUGGAAGCCAAAAAUCAUCCUCUCCACAGCUGCACUUUCGUUCAUUUUUCAAUUUGCACUUUUGUUCAAAGUUCAAUAGUUUUGUUGUGUGCAAAUAAAUUAUUUUGCUACAAAAA